AGUUCGAUCCUGGCUCAGAUUGAACGCUGGCGGGGGAUGCUUUCACAUGCAAGUCGAACGGCAGCACGGACUUGGUCUGGUGGCGAGUGGCGAACGGGUGAGUAAUGUAUCGGAACGUGCCUAGUAGCGGGGGAUAACUACGCGAAAGCGUAGCUAAUACCGCAUACGCCCUUCGGGGGAAAGUAAAUCUUCUCGGCCUCGUACUAUUAGAGCGGCCGAUAUCGGAUUAGCUAGUUGGUGGGGUAAUGGCUCACCAAGGCGACGAUCCGUAGCUGGUUUGAGGAUAGGUCGAUCAGCCACACUGACUGAGAUGGCCCAGACGCAUGGACAGCAGCAGUGGGGAAUUUGACAAUGGGGAAACCCUGAUCCAGCCAUCCCGCGUGUGCGAUGAAGGCCUUCGGGUUGUAAAGCACUUUUGGCAGGAAAAGAAACGGUAUCGAUAACAUCCGUGCAACUGACGGCACCUGCAGAAUAAGUACCGGUCAACUGAUGUGCCAGCAGCCGCGGUAAUACGGCAGGCAGCAUCGGAAUUACUGGCGUAAAGCGUGCGUAUAGCGGUUCGAACAAAGAUGUGAAAUCCCAGAGCUUAACUUUGGAACUGCAUUAACUACCGGAGCUAGAGCAAGUCAGAGGGAGGUGGGAAUUCGUGCGUAGCAGAAAUGCAGAUAUGCGGAGGAACACCGAUGGCGAAGGCAGCCUCCUGGGAUAACACUGGAUGCUCAUGCACGAAAGUACGGGGAGCAAAAUAAAUAGUUUGAUACUCCCAGGGAACCACGCCUCAAACGAUGUCAACUAGCUGCCAGCUUCCUGCCUUUGUAGCGCAGCUAACGCGGCAAGUUAACGCUGCCCAGAGUACGGUCGCAAGAUUAAAAAACUCAAAGGAAUUGACGGGGACCCGCACAGCGUCGCGAUGAUGCGGAUUGGAAUUGAUGCAACGCGAAAACUACCUACUCCUUGACAUGUCUGGAAUCCCAAGAGACGGAGUGCCUGCAAGAGAACCGGAACACAGGUGCUGUAAUGGCCACGUCAGCUCGUGUCAUGAGAUGUUAAGUUAAGUCCCGCAACGAGCGCAACCCUGUCAUUAGUUGCUACGAAAGGGCACCUAAUGAGACUGCCGGCGGACAACCGAGGAAGGUGGGGUAGAUGACGUCAAGUCCUCAUGGCCUCUUAUGGGUAGCGGGGUUUCACACGUCAUACAAUGGUCGACAGAGGGCUUUCGCUAACCCGCGAGGGAGCCAAUCCUAGCAAACCGAUCAGUCCGGAUCGCAGUCUGCAACCUGACUGCGUGAAGUCGGAAUCGCUAGUAAUCGCGGACCGCUGCUGUCGCGGUGAAUACGUUCCGGGUCUUGUACACACCGCCCGUCACACCAUGGGAGUGGGUUUUACCGAAGUAGUUAGCCUAACCGUAAGGAGGGCGAUUACCACGGUAGGAUCCAUGACUGAAGCGAAGUCGUAACAAGGUAA
rnacentral:rRNA from 1 species